ensembl:lncRNA
AGGAGCGUGAGUGAUAGCAUUUGGCUCGCUAGGCAAAUCCUAUGGUUAGUUUUGAAACAAAAAAGGACAGAAUCAGAAACACUGAGCGUAAAGAGAGCCUGGGAUGSAGCAGGAACUUGGCCGAGCUUGAGCACGUGGCUGGCACGGAGCUGCCUGCCCCGGCGCUCGGAGGGGCUCCGUGGGCACCACCACCACGCUCUGCUCUGGAGGAGGCCAGGAGGAAUCGGUGGCAUGUUGAGGAAUCAGGCACUUUGCUGUCUGCACCCGUACUGUCUCAAUACAGCCAGGUCUCCACAGACUCAAAUCCCAGGACAGGAUCACUGCAUCUUCUGACGUCUUGUUUGAAGCUGCCAAGGAGAUGUGGACAGAAUUGCGGCGAGCGCACAGUGUGUAUAUUUCCCUCUGGGUAACCAUCAUGGUUGAUGAGGCUGAGGUUUGAGAAAUGUAUCUGGAUAAGCUCUAUGGCACGAUGGCCCUUACUCCUCAGAAAGAUUUUCUCCAGCUGAAUUGGCAACACCUCUGUCCUGUCUUCUUUGAAGUAAAUCAUUCAAGGGCAUCAUACAACUGGCGAAGAAGGUGCUAAAUGGCGAGCAAACAAGAAGAUCAUGCAACGCGUCUAGUUUGGGUGUCUGCCUUAGUCUUCUGGAAACUGCUGUGUUGCCCUUGUAUUUUUCUCCACACGUGAAACGGUGCUUGCACGAGUGGCCAAGUCGCACCCUCUGCUCCCUCCUCCCCUGCCCCGCAAAAAAGAAAAGAGGUUUUGUUUUUAAACUUCUUGAAAGCCUUUUGAGAAGUAUUAGCUCCAUAGGUGCUCUGUGUCCAUAAGAAGCAGUGAGCGGCAUCCCUCCUUUUCAGAUAGGUUGGAAUUGAUGCACUGAUCGGGCACGGGUUCGAGAAAGAAACUGCCCCGUCCUUCUGCAUCAUCUGUGGCUGAGACAUGCUGAGCCUUUACCUUUCUCUGAUUCUUGACAGUGCCUACAAAUGCGUCCAAACAAGAAGAAAUACACCAUGCCAAGGUAUAUGCAUUUUUUCAAAAGAAUCAAGGUAAUCACCCAUUAGUUUUCCUUUUUUUUCGCACAAAGCUGUCCUUUAAGAGCUUAGGUAAAUAGUGAAUGAUUUUAGCUCUUCCUCCCCCUCUCUGUGCAGUGUACUGUUGCCGAGUUAAACUGAGUUUUGCCUAAUCCAAGGCGGGGGUGUCUCUGGGGCUUUGCAGUUCUGGUCUUAGCGACUUAGUAAGCUGCAGCUCUCCUCAUGCUAUUUUGGAGCACUUGAUUUGUGCCUUCCACUUGGGUUUCACUCAGCUAGGAAGUACUGUGUUCAGCUGAAAGAGCAAACAUUUUUCUAGGGCUGUGGCGAUUUUUUGCUUCCAACUCACUUAUACAAAUAUAAAGGCAGAUGAUGAUGUUGGUUGUUGUUGCUCUUUGGUGGUGGUGGUGGUGAUUGUUGCUGCUGCACUGCUUAGAAGACAUGGAGAACCUCUAGGGGACUGAGAUGUGAGAAUGCAAAAGAAGGGGCCAUUCAAAACCUAAGGUCUGUUUGUUCCUUUUAGUUUUGCAACCCUUGUAACUUUGGUCUCAGAAUUCAUGUUGUAGACCCUGGAAAAACACUGUAAUUUAUAGUUCACUCACGGGUCUAGCUGAGACAUCUUUUUUUAGUUCACCUAUAUUUGGCACAUGCAAGAAGGUAAACUUAGCCUGUAGGUUGAUGUUGGCGUAGGACACACAGAGGUAGGCUGCCCUUGGAAGCGGUUAGCUCUUCGGACAGCUGGAGAUGUGUAACUGUUUGAGUAGUUCAGUGGUGUUUGGUAGUUGGGAGAAAUGACACUUGCUACUCGAAGAGUUGAGCUUAGAAGAUCCUUUACCGUGGCAGAAGCAAUCAGCUGGAUGAGCCAGUAGACUCUUCCUUGGUUUCUAGUCCAACAGACUCCCUUCGGGGAAGUGGCUUUGAGCUCAUGCCUGCACUUCACUUCCUGAGGAGUGGUUUUAACCUCCAGCCUGUGAGACUGUACAUGUGGAGAGGAGGAAAAAAUACCCGCUAGAUACAGGACCUGACCAGCAUCAGCAGCAAAGCUGAAGUUAUUUGAUUUAAACCUUGAACUUCAGUAUCAGAACAUUCUCAUGUCUGUUUCGUAAUAGCUGUCCCUCUAGGUUAUGCUUACCAAGAUGCUCAGCUGGAUGCUGUUCUCAAGCCUCAGGGGGAUCCCAGGGGUAAUCAGUAUUUACUCACUUGCAAGAAGCAGCAUUUCCUUUUCCAUAUGUUACUGGUGUAAGACAUAACUCAACACUGUCUCUUCAGGUCUCCGCAGACCUAAAUCCCAGGACAGAAUCGCUGCCUCUUCUGACAGCUUGUUUGAAGCUGCCGAGGAGCUGGGGACGGCAUUGCAGAGAGUGCAUGGUGUGUAUGCUUCCCUGUGUGGUAACCGUAGUGCUGGUUACGACUGAGGUUUUGGAAACCUGAGCUCGAUGGCAUGAUGGCUCUUGCUCCUCAGAAGGACUUUUUCCCAGCUGUGCUGGCUACACCUUUUUCCCAUCUGCUUUGAAGUAAAUCAUUUGAGGGCAUCAUACAGUUGGCUGAGAAGGUGCUAGAUGACAGGCAGACAAGAAGAUCGCAUGCAACGUGCUAGUCAUGCAACACGUGUGGUUUUAGUGUCUGCUCUCGUUUCCUGGAAACUGUUGUCUUUUUUUCCUCACGUGAAAGAGCAUUUGCACGAGUGAACUAGCUGCCUUUGAACACUGAAGCUGCAAAUGUCCAAGAGAGGUUAUUCUAGGCCCAGCUCCUUGCUGUUUUCCAGCCAAGCUUUUAGCAGCUCACAAGGGAGCAAGCUGUUCGUGGAGUCAGCAGUGGCUCCCUCCUGGCUGAUCCUUUCUGUAAAUCCUUGRGUAGACAGAAAGGACAGGAGGGACUCUGGCUGCCUCCCUCCCUCUAACAUACACAAUGGUAUGACUUCCUCCGGCAGGCGUGGAUAGCGAGAAAAAAGCAAAGGCUGYGGAUGAUAAGGAUCUACGGAAGCGCAGUAGAGCAGCCCCUGCAGUAGUGGGAGGCUGGAUAUCGGCUGGCAUUAUGUUGGCAUGCUUACUUGCUUUGCUGCUGAGGAAGAGAAAACAGUGAGUGGUUUCCUCCCACGUGAUUCUUUAGUGCUUGGCCCCUUGUGGCAAUGAAGUGCUUCUCAUUAAGAGUACUCUGGAGUGCUAAGUUAGCUCUUGAUGGUACUCUACUGAGGUGUCUGCUGUCACAGUUUUUUUUUUUUACYUGGCCUCUUCAUUCAUUCCUAUGAAUGUUCUUUCCUGAGCCCUGCUUUUGUUACUGCAGAGAASGAGUAUUACCUCAUACUGAUGCUGCUUAUGAAAGGCAAGACACAGCUGCUGAAGGAGGCAGCGUGAGUUCAGGAAGAGAAACAAAAGAGGGUGAAUUUGCCACAGAAGAGGAGAACAGCAACAGCAGCUACAGUCCAGUACAAGUGAAUUUACUCAUAGAGAUGACUCUGUCACCUGGUGCUGAUAAUUCAGAUAGUUCAGCUCAGCCUAGACUCUGGGGCGACUCAGAUCCUGGUGAUGACUCUUUGUCCAAUACAUGCAUUUGUUCACAUUCAUCAGAAGAGGAGGAGAAUUGGUGCAGAACAUCUGGAUCUGAUGAGUCCGAGUGUGUAUAUCCUCAGUAACAGUGGAUAUAUGCACAAUGGAUUCCUCUUCUGAGUAGACCAUGAAGAAUGCUCAGUGGAGCAGAAGGUCUCCUCUUGUUUGAUCAUGGAUAGCCAGGAAAGUUUAGCUGCCGUCAUUUGACACAGCGUGAUCAUGACUUCAUCCAGUGAGUGCUGAAGGUCAGGUUCUCUUCUGCAAGCGUGGUAAUAAAGUAAUAAAGCCAUUUUGAACCUGGGACUGC